rnacentral:rRNA from 1 species
UACAGAGGUCUCAAGCGUUGUUCGGAUUCAUUGGGCGUAAAGGGUGCGUAGGCGGCGCGGUAAGUCGGGUGUGAAAUCUCGGAGCUUAACUCCGAAACUGCAUUCGAUACUGCCGUGCUUGAGGACUGGAGAGGAGACUGGAAUUUACGGUGUAGCGGUGAAAUGCGUAGAUAUCGUAAGGAAGACCAGUGGCGAAGGCGGUUACCUGGAGCUUUGCUGACGCUGAUGCGCGAAAGCGUGGGGAGCGAUCCGG